rnacentral:rRNA from 1 species
CCUACGGGAGGCAGCAGUGGGGAAUAUUGCACAAUGGGGGGAACCCUGAUGCAGCAACGCCGCGUGGGUGAAGAAGUAUUUCGGUAUGUAAAGCCCUGUCAGCAGGGAAGAAAAUGACGGUACCUGACCAAGAAGCCCCGGCUAACUACGUGCCAGCAGCCGCGGUAAUACGGAGGGGGCAAGCGUUACCCGGAUUUACUGGGUGUAAAGGGAGCGUAGACGGCAAGGCAAGUCUGGUGUGAAAGCCCGUGGCUCAACCACGGGACUGCUUUGGAAACUGUGUUGCUGGAGUGCAGGAGGGGUAAGCGGAAUUCCUAGUGUAGCGGUGAAAUGCGUAGAUAUUAGGAGGAACACCGAUGGCGAAGGCGGCUUACUGGACUGUAACUGACGUUGAGGCUCGAAGGCGUGGGGAGCAAACAGGAUUAGAUACCCGAGUAGUC